CCUACGGGUGGCAGCAGUGGGGAAUAUUGCACAAUGGGGGCAACCCUGAUGCAGCGACGCCGCGUGAGUGAAGAAGUCCUUCGUUAUGUAAAGCUCUUUCAGCAGGGAAGAAGAUGACGGUACCUGUGUCAGAAGCACCGGCUAACUACGUGCCAGCAGCCGCGGUAAUACGUAGGGGGCCAGCGUUAUCCGGAUUUACUGGGUGUAAAGGGAGCGUAGACGGCUGUGCAAGUCUGGAGUGAAAGGCGGGGGCUCAACCCCCGGACUGCUCUGGAAACUGUACGGCUGGAGUGCAGGAGAGGGAAGUGGAAUUCCUGGUGUAGCGGUGAAAUGCGUAGAGAUUAGGAGGAACACCAGUGGCGAAGGCGGCUUACUGGACUGUAACUGACGUUGAGGCUCGAAAGCGUGGGGAGCAAACAGGAUUAGAUACCCCAGUAGUC
rnacentral:rRNA from 1 species